GCGUAUGCCUCUGAUUUGAGAGAUGGUCUGCUGCCUGAUUCCUCUCUCGAUGGAUGUGCGAAAUCCGAAAAGAUAUACCACUCAAGGAUUUGCGAGUGGAAGUAAGCAAAUACCGAGUCCUAGAAGAUCCCUGAUGACCCUCAUCUAUCAUGUGUACCACUACUUUUGCAUCCAUUUCUAUCCAAAGUCUAGUGACAUUGUACUCAAGACACAAAAGUAAAC
rnacentral:lncRNA from 1 species